AUAAAUUGUAUUCUUAUUAGGCAAACUUAUACCAGUGGCAAACACAGUGUUUGAUCUACAAAUACCUAGAAAAUUGAAGGACGUAAUAAAUAAUGUCCCCAACGCUCUAGGUUUUGAUAAUAAUUUCUGCGUUUACAAAGGCACUCGUCAAAGUUUAGGUUUUGUUUCGAGAGUAGAACAUCCCCAAAGUGGAAGAGUUCUAGAAACCUACAGUGAUCAACCUGGUGUACAAUUUUACACCGGAAACGCCAUACCCGAACAUACAGGUAAAGGCGGAAAUAAAUAUGGGAAACAUUCUGCGUUCUGUUUGGAAACCCAAAUUUGGCCUGAUGCCAUUCAUCACGAUAAUUUUCCAAAUGUUGUUCUUAACCCUGGUGACCAAUAUCGUCACGUCUGCGUUUAUAAAUUCUUGGUAAAAGCGUGAUCAGAAUAAAACAAUUUCGGUAAGAAAAAUGUUUACGGUUAUACAAUGUAUUACACUGACAUAAAUACAUAUCUUACUACGUUUGCUGUAUGAGAUAUUAUAAAAUUGUAAUUAAUAUAUGUUUGAAAAAGGA